AAUAUUAUUCUCUGUUCAUGAUUCUGGUUUUUGUGAGAAAUGUAAAACACUAAUGUCUUUGGAUGGAUGUAAGGCUCAUUGGGAUUUCCAGUAUGUGUUUAGAUCACCUUCUCGCUUUAAAUAUUCAUACAAUUUUUUCCCCCUUACUUAGUGCUGGCCAAUCAGCAAUUAAGGAGUGCUGGCCACUCAGAAAUGGAUCGGGUAAGAUCCGGGGAGCCCAAUAGUUUAGAAGCUUCACUGACGCAAAUGAUCAACGUUCACCAUCAUAGGUCACUCAAGCUCUGAGCAUUUACAGAGGAAUCGAAGAAAGGUGCGGUGCGUAGUGCCUUCUGGUCGAUGCGGUGAACGGCAGGGUCCAAGAGGCUUAUGUGAUAGAGAA